UACGGAGGGAGCUAGCGUUGUUCGGAAUUACUGGGCGUAAAGCGCGCGUAGGCGGCUUUGUAAGUUAGAGGUGAAAGCCCGGAGCUCAACUCCGGAACUGCCUUUAAAACUGCAUCGCUUGAAUCCAGGAGAGGUGAGUGGAAUUCCGAGUGUAGAGGUGAAAUUCGUAGAUAUUCGGAAGAACACCAGUGGCGAAGGCGGCUCACUGGACUGGGUAU
rnacentral:rRNA from 1 species